rnacentral:rRNA from 1 species
CACGCUGUAAACGAUGAUUACUCGAUGUUGGCGAUAUACAGUCAGCGUCUAAGCGAAAGCAAUAAGUAAUCCACCUGGGGAGUACGAUCGCAAGGUUGAAACUCAAAGGAAUUGACGGGGGCCCGCACAAGCGGAGGAGCAUGUGGUUUAAUUCGAUGAUACGCGAGGAACCUUACCUGGGCUUGAAUGCUAUACUUCGCAAGAAGGUGUCUGCAGAAAUGUAGAUGAAAAUUGCAAGGUGC